rnacentral:tRNA from 1 species
GCGGGCGUGGCGGAAUUGGUAGACGUGCCAGACUUAGGAUCUGGUGCCGUAAGGCAUGGGGGUUCAAGUCCCUCCGCCCGUACAA